GAAGACCCAAGAGGAAUAUCAGCUAGGUGACUGCUGACUGAUGCAGUUGACUGCAGUGAUGAUUCUAAACCCGACAAGACCAGAUGUUCGUGUUCUGAGAAACCUGGUGACCGGCAACUUCUCUCCAGUCCAGACCAGCAAAUCAGAUGACCUGAAGACACAGUGAGUUUGUACAGGUGUGUCCUGAGUGUCAGCUGUCCUGAUGUUCCUGUCCUGACUGGGAGA